AUGCAGAUUUAAUCGCGAGGCAGUGCUCUCAGUACUUAAGAACAUGCACAGUGCACAGUGAAUGAAAAUUUUUCACACAUGGUUUCUCCCUCCACAAAGAAAAUUUCCUAUACUUUUUUGUUGUUGUUCUUGAUUUUUCAGCUCAACAAAAGAAUGGAGAUCUGGCUUUGGAAAGUAAGCGCUUGGAAAGAAGCCACAGAUGUCAACAAGCCUAGGCCUGCUUUCUCAUCCACAAAGCAAUGAAUUUAUUUUCUUUAACUUUGUGCUAAGCAAUAUGUGUGGAGAAACAGACCCUGGGUUCGUGUGAAAUAGGAACUGAAAUGGAUUGCUAAUCAGCAUUGUGAGUUAUGCUCAGGGAUACUCUGAGUGUAUUUUACUGACCCCAAGGAGAAAACAACAACAAAAAUGUACAUCUAAGAGAGCUGGUGGAUGAACAUAGGUGUGGGCAGCCCUUCAAUGUCGGUGGACCAAGACUGGUCCGACAAAAUGCCUCCUUCAAGUGUUUGCCUCAAAACAGAAUGUUUCAGAAAAUGGAAAACUGAUGUUUGGAAAGCAACUAAAAAAUCAACGAUAUAGAAGAGAAUGAAAAUACUUCAAAGGAAGGGAGAAUUACCAAUUGCUGGGCAAAAGAUGGGAAAUCAUCAAGUAAAAAAACAGGAGACAAAGACAUGUUCUCCCUCUUGGAGAAGAGUGGGAAUCAGAGGGCAACUGGGAAACUCAGCAAAGAAAACCCUAAAAGGUUAUCUCCUCUCUGCUUAAUCAUUCCCUGGUGACUCAGAUGGCAAACAAUCUGCCUGCAAUGCAAGAGACCCAGGUUUGAUCCCUGGGGCAGGAAGAUCCCCCUGGAGAGGGGAAUGGCUACCCGCAGUGAACCAUCAUGUUGUGCUUAAAUUUCAAACAUUUCACAUAGUUUUUCAGUCCUGAGGGCUUAUAUUAUUGAAAUAAUCAAAUUCUUUAAAUGAAAGAAAAUUUUAUCACAGUGCUUCCUUUUUUUGUGACAAAAAAGAAAAUAAACUAAAUUUGUAAAAUUAC
ensembl:lncRNA